rnacentral:rRNA from 1 species
UACGUAGGGUGCAAGCGUUGUCCGGAAUUAUUGGGCGUAAAGAGCUCGUAGGCGGUCUGUCGCGUCGGCUGUGAAAACCCGGAGCUCAACUCCGGGCCUGCAGUCGAUACGGGCAGACUGGAGUUCGGCAGGGGAGACUGGAAUUCCUGGUGUAGCGGUGAAAUGCACAGAUAUCAGGAGGAACACCGGUGGCGAAGGCGGGUCUCUGGGCCGUAACUGACGCUGAGGAGCGAAAGCGUGGGGAGCGAACAGG